GACGAAUACAAAAAUCAAAUCUAAAUACAAACUAUUUGGUAUACAAAAUGAUAUUGUAAAUACAAAAUAAGCAAAAUAAGAUAAAAACUUUGUUUUACAUAUGCAAUUAGGAUGAAUACAUAAAUAAACUUAUUUUUGUUAUUUAGAAUUGAGAAUGAAUGGACAAUUAAGAACUUCUAUUCAACAAUUGAUUCAUCAAGUUCCAUGGAUUCAAGAAGAGUCUUUUUGGAACCAUCCAUAGAGCGGCGGCGGCGGAGAUCUGGAACCCGACAAGGAAACCGUGUGAGCCCUAAAUCAAAAUCACAAGAAAAUCGAAAAAAUUUAUUUAAAAGACUAAAAAUCUGAAAUACAUAAAUAUUUGAUGAUUAUCUAACCAAACUCACAUUCUACUAAAUCUGAAAUACUAAAACAAAAUCAUAAGAAAAUCGAAUUUUUUUAUUUAAAAGACUAAAAAUCUAAAACACAUAAAUAUUUGAUGAUUAUCUAACCAACUCACAUAAAAAUCGAAAAAAUUGACGGAAAAUCCGUAAUAUAUAAAACCCCAAAAUACAAGAUAAUCGGUGAUUUUAAAAAUAAAAGCAACAUAAAUAUCACUAAAUAAUCAAAAUUACCUUUAACAAUUGAGAUAUUUCUUGAGUUAAGUUAGAGAUUUGUUGAACAAAUUAGGAAAACCAUUCAUAAUUUGUAUUUCUUGACCUGCAAAGAAAUUUGAAGAAAGAGAAAAUAUAAAACUUGAAUGAUGGGGGGAAAAGAAACGUGAAUGAUGGGGAAAGAAGAUUACUCGGUAUUUUUUUUUUCUUUUUUCCUUUUUUAUUCAUUAUGGGUUUAGAAUUUGGUCCAAUGAU
rnacentral:lncRNA from 1 species